UUAAUACUGUCAGGUAAAGAUG
rnacentral:miRNA from 1 species